CCUUGGGUUUCCUCUGCGAGAGACGGCGGCGGCGGCUCUCGACCCGGCGGCUGAGGGCCUAGCCACUCCGCCCGAUGUAUCGCGGCAGCGGGUCGGCGGCUGCUCCCGGCGAGCAGCCCAUCGACGCCAACCCUGUCGAAAAGAAUUCAAAAUGAAAGGAGCCCCAAACAUGAUUUUGCUGCCAUUAUUGAACUGAUUCAAGCGAUCAAUGUAUGCCAUGGCCAGUUUGUGGAGCAAGCACUGGAGCAUAUCCACUAAGAACUUGCAGUUGUGUUCAUUAUAUCCAGACACCAUGAGGUACUGCUGAAUGAGCUCAAAUCGCCGAGUUGCUUGAGUUGGGAAAGUUCUCAAAAUUCAUGGAUUCCAUUACUCGGGAUAGCACACGUCUUCUAAAUGCUGACAACCCCGCGUUUGACUAUGUACAUCGAAUUUUAAACAGCCUUUCUAUUAACACGUAAGCUCUUGGGAAAUCCUCCUUUCCUAUUCAAAUGAUUUAACUUAGAUACACAUCAUCAUUAGUUGAUUAUUUUAUUUCUGCACCUGGAGAUAAUUUAGUAAUAUGUACGCAUCAUGAUUGCGAUGUUUAUUUUUAUUGUUGCAUGUUCUCAAUAAUUUUGUAUGAGUGGUAUUAUUACAAAGUCUACUCAUAUUUCAUAAUUAAAUGGUAGUGCAGAAAUUGUUUACGAGUCCCAUUGCUGUGACAGUCUAAAUGCAGUCUCAGUCUGACGGAUAGUCCAAGGUUCCAAGCCUAUCCAUGGGUACCAGUAUCUCUGUAAUUCCUCCAUUUCAAAGAAGCAUGCCACUACUUAAAGCGAACAUGUAUUUAUUUUUUUUACUUUGUAUGGAGAAAAGUUCACAGUUAAGUUAAUCAUGGCAGAUGAUUUCUGUUAGGUUUGAUUUCCUAUGCCCUCUAUUUAUUGGAGAGUUGAGAUGUCCAAUGCCACGAGUGUAUUGCUAUUAAAAUCCUUAGAGGAAGAUAACAUAAGACAGAACCCAGUUUUGUUUCAUUGAUGUUGCAGCUGACAAAAAGGGUGUUGCCUGGUUAUCUGUGUUACCGACCUAAGCUACCACCAUGCAACAAUGGUGGUGUUGGUUACAUAUGUUAUCUGCAAAACUAACCCCGCUUAUAUCUGCAAAGAAUUUGGGCUUAGCGUACCUAAAUUAGAACAUACGAGCUAGUUAUCGACACUAGAAAAACACUCAUUAAACAGUAAACUUCUCUUCUCUUUUUUUUAAGGACAUUAAAAGAAACUUCCUUUCAUUUAUGGACCUCUGUUCCAAACAAGUUGUGCCAUUUCUUUUUUCCCUCGAACACUUAGUAUGUGCCAUUUCAUUUAGUUGAUCUCGAUGUUACUAAGCUUCAACUACAUUAUCUAUCAGUUUUUUUUUUUUGAAAUACAUUAUCUAUCAGUUGUUCUUCUACUAUCCUAUCAAGUAAAUAAUGGCAACGUUGUAAUAUUUUACCUGAUGGAGGAGGGCACACUGCACCUUGCAUGUAUCAGUCUCUAUCUAACGGACAAUGCAUCGUGUUUCCUACAGCGUGCAGGUCUGGUUUUCUUUAGAGAUGACAUCUGUACUUGGUAUUGGACUUGAGGAAGCCAAUACAAACAUGAUCGACGCGGAUGAGACUGACGGUAGUGACAUUCCAUUGCUGCGUAUACUAAUCAGUUAGACAGCGAAGGCACGACCCUGACUGCUGGUGACGGUUAAUUAAUUGAUUACUAUACACAACGGGCGUUGCAUCUUAUGUUCCUGUGACUGAGACAAGCAAUACUUGUGGUGAUUCUAAAUUGCAAUGAAUUUGUGCGUGUUCCACGCUGCGUGAUAAUGCUCCAUCGAUGGGGAUUGGUCGUGCGUCACGAAGAGAGCACCGCUGCGUUUAUUAAAUUGCAAAACUGAAAUUUAUAUAGAGAGGUUGCUUUCGUUGUAAUGCUUGCUUCAUUGCGUGCCAUCUUAAAGCUUGGACAUGUGUUUUGGGUGUUUUCUCUUUUGUGCUUCGGGUAAUAGGCAUGCAUAUCCUCCAUGAUUAGGCGGUGCAGGCUGAGAAGUAUGUUUAAUCUGCUCAUUCUGUUUGUUCAAGUGCAAAACACACAGGACUGCUAUGAUGGAUGGAAGACGAAGAAAAAGUGAAAUUACAAAGACUCUAGAAUGACACACUGAACACCUCUGUUUCUUCUUGCAAGGUUUUAAUCCAUGGUGUUUCUCCGUUCCAAACUAAUCGAAGUUCCAGCUUUGUUCUAAGUCAAACUUCUCCAUAUUUGACCAGAAUCAUAGAAAAACGUGUUGACAUCUUUGGAUUCUUUCUGGAAAAUAAAUUUAUGACAAAGAAAAUGAAACAAAUUUGUUGUUA